AGGAAUAUUGGUCAAUGGGCGCAAGCCUGAACCAGCCAUGCCGCGUGCAGGAAGACGGUCCUAUGGAUUGUAAACUGCUUUUAUUUGGGAAUAAACCUAUUUACGUGUAGAUAGCUGAAGGUACCAAAUGAAUAAGCACCGGCUAACUCCGUGCCAGCAGCCGCGGUAAUACGGAGGGAGCAAGCGUUAUCCGGAAUCAUUGGGUUUAAAGGGUCCGCAGGCGGAUUUAUAAGUCCGUGGUGAAAGC
rnacentral:rRNA from 1 species